GGCCUUAUGGUCUAGUCGCAUGAUUCCUCGUUUGGGUGCUGGGUUCAUCUCCAGACUAAUCGAGGAGGUCGCCGGUUCAAUUCCGGCUGAGGCCC